rnacentral:rRNA from 1 species
UACAGAGGUCUCAACCGUUGUUCGGAUUCAUUGGGCGUAAAGGGUGCGUAGGCGGUCGGGUAAGUCGGAUGUGAAAUCUCGGGGCUCAACCCUGAAACUGCAUUCGAUACUGCCUGGCUAGGGUACUGGAGAGGAGACUGGAAUUUACGGUGUAGCAGUGAAAUGCGUAGAUAUCGUAAGGAAGACCAGUGGCGAAGGCGGGUCUCUGGACAGUUCCUGACGCUGAGGCACGAAGGCCAGGGGAGCAAACGGG